rnacentral:tRNA from 1 species
UGGGGUGUAGCCAAGCGGUAAGGCAAUGGACUUUGGAUCCAUGAUUCGGAGGUUCGAAUCCUCCCGCCCCAG